rnacentral:rRNA from 1 species
AUUGAACGCUGGCGGAAUGCUUUACACAUGCAAGUCGAACGGCAGCACGGGGGCAGCCCUGGUGGCGAGUGGCGAACGGGUGAGUAAUACAUCGGAACGUGCCCGGACGUGGGGGAUAACGUAGCGAAAGUUACGCUAAUACUGCAUACGAUCUGAGGAUGAAAGCGGGGGACCUUUGGGCCUCGCGCGAUCGGAGCGGCCGAUGUCAGAUUAGGUAGUUGGUGGGGUAAAGGCCUACCAAGCCGACGAUCUGUAGCUGGUCUGAGAGGACGACCAGCCACACUGGGACUGAGACACGGCCCAGACUCCUGCGGGAGGCAGCAGUGGGGAAUUUUGGACAAUGGGCGCAAGCCUGAUCCAGCCAUUCCGCGUGCAGGACGAAGGCCUUCGGGUUGUAAACUGCUUUUGUACGGAACGAAAAGGCUCUGGCUAAUACCUGGGGCUCAUGACGGUACCGUAAGAAUAAGCACCGGCUAACUACGUG